GGAUCAAGUGAUGAUUAUAAACUGCAACAAUAUGAUGGGAGUAAUACUCCUAUGAUUCCCAAGUAUUUAAGUCUCUGAUGAUC